AUUUAAAAAAAUUACAUUAUCAAACAAGCUGUUAACGAUGUUUGCUAGUUACCUUUUCAAUGGUAACUGUGGUGGGAAUAGAAGGAACACAACCAAAAAAACCAAGAUGGCUGACGUGGUAGCAUGAAGGGCCUGGUGUGAAGACAGCCGGUUCAGCCCGGUUCUGCACAGAUGAGACGGAAGCCUCGUCAUGGAGUUUGGAGGAUGAGGAAGGGAUUGGCCGGGGUGCUCACGCUAACCUCCAAGGCUCAUGUUACCGUCAGUCAUCUUUCCAGGUGUUUCAGAUGGAGACUUGAAAAGUGGCUGUGAAAAUGUGACUCCGUUUUUGGACGUCUUCUCCUCGCGUGCUUUGAUCCCUGUUUAAGAGCAGCUGACGAGGAACAGAAGAAGACAGCAGCCACACUCACACCCGCCUCCUCUCCUGUAAAUUCCCUCCUUUAAUUAAAAGGCUGGAGUUAAUUGAUUGUUUUGGUUUCCCAUUCACGUCAAGAGAGAAUAAUGUUCACCCUAUUCAUGCUGCUUUAAAGCAAAAUGAGUUUACUUCAUCAGCCCACCUAAACCGCCCAGUUCUCCCCCUCCCACCUCCCCCGUUCCUUCCCCAACCUCAAACCACACCCGAGUGAAAAUCCAUCCAGCAGCAAAAAUUGCAGGGCAAGUGCCUUUGAGUCAGGCUGAUUAAAAGACCCAAGCACCCCAUUUCAAAGAGAAUGUAAACAGUAUUAUGAGCAGGCCGCCUGCAGUGACUCACCCCAAACUGUUAUUACAUCUACCUUAUGAUGCCGCGCAGUGUUUCAUCUCUCUGCAGUUUUUCAGCAGCGAGAUAAGCCUGGGAUCGCUGAGGUAAGCUAAGUGGCCUUAAAAGCAUCCCUAAGCGGUUAAUAAGUACGUACUAAUGACCCCCGAACACGUCUUAUCAACAUGAAACCGCCUGAUAGAUCCCAGGCACAUCCAGAGGGGGGGGGGGCGGCGUUUUGAUUUACUGCUCCGUAAAUUUGCAGCUGCCAGAAAAACACGAGAAUCGUUUUUCAGGACAGUUGCAACAUGCAGGUAUUGAGCCAAAUACACAUACCUCUGCUGAUCUACUACCCACGCACAGCUUCAUCUCUCAAUACCUCCCUGCAGUUAUCUGAACACAAAUUUCUCAUUAUCUCCCUUUUGCUUGGAUUAUUAUAUCUGUAGUCAACAUUCACGGAGUGGAAAGAACAUUUAUGUACAGCAUGAGAGAUGAAAACAGUGUCUUUUCUGGUUGUUGCGGCUACACACUGGUUGCUGAUUCCAGGAUUGGGUGGCGUCCAGAUUUAGGUGAUGGAAAAGAAAAACAAAUCCGACAACCGAUCAUUCAAUGCUGCCAACACGUCUUCAAGAUCCAAACAGACAUGUCCAUCAGGAGAAUGAGGGGGAAAUAGAAGAAAGGACUAGACUAGAACACUCACAAGUAAACACAGAUAGUCUGAGGUAAACAAAAAAAUGUAGAUUUUUUUAAUUAUGUUUAGUAAAAGAUGCAACUGCAGUUAAAACGUGUUUUUCAAUCAGUUUGUAGCAUUUAAAAUUUGUUGAGUUCCUUAAGCAGCAAUGAGUCAAGGUCAUUCACAUAUUUGUUGCUCCCCAGUGCUCCAUUAAUUACGGCGCUUCUCUAAAUGUCCUCAUCUGAUGGGAAAUCACUUCAGGUGAUGUUCAGGCAGUAAAUUACUGUGUGGCUGCAGAACAACCCCAAGCAGCGGGGUGUCUUUCCUGCUGUGGACACAAAUCUUAAAGAGGGGGGUCAGAGGGAUUAUCCCGAGAGAAGGCUUAAAUAAUGACACAAGUGAGGAACAAAAGGGGACGGUCACCGAAUGAAAGAGAGAGAAGAGGGGAGCCAUUGUGCAACGGAGCAGGCCUCCUCAGACCUAAUUACCUCUCAUUGGUCCUCAUUGAGCCUUGUUGUGAUAAUGCCGGGGGAAGGGGCACGCUGGGCACAGCCAGCAGAGGUGUGCAGAUGACCCUAAACGUGGAGGAUGCGACAGGAACAGCAGCCAUGUCUUCAAAUCGGAUCAAAUGUGUUGAGCUGCUCUUAUUUUGGAAACAUCCAUGACGUGAUGGUGGUGCCUGGAAUGGAUGCAGCUCCACCCUGCUUCUUGUGAACAAGCAAAAGCCCCCCAGGCUUCUUCAGCUGUGAAUCCUCCUACCUGCACCUCCACCCAGCUGAUGAAAUCCUCUGAAAUCCUGAGGGACUGGGCUGCAUCCUGUUUGGUUCAUCUCAGUUGUAUGGGCUCUCAUGAUGGGGUAUUUUCAUAGGGCUACUGUAUUUAGGCAAGUUUCAUCAUGUAUGUUUGUAUUUAUUUGCUUUUGUGCCUCCACAGUGCUUUACUGGUCUGGUCUGUCCAGAUCAAAUGAAAUAAAUGAAGACUCAAUCCAAACAGGACAGGAGAAAUGUCACAUUAUAAAAAUUAAAUUUGCUUGUUAAAUGACCAGUUUGUAUGUUUUCAAUAUUGCUAUUUUCAAUAUUGCUAGACUGGGUCAUGUUUCAGCAAGAUAAGUUAAUAUUUCCUGCAGAUUAUGUCUGUUUGUGUUUCUUGCCGCUUUCAGUGGGAAACUUUCCUUCACACCUGAUAAAAUAUACUUCGUCAACCAUACUCUCAUCCUGUUUAGGGGCCGUAUUAUUA